CCACAGAAACUGCACACUGACCGUCAGUAGGAGGAUGGAAGUUGUUCAGGAAUGUGUCUCUUACCUUUCAGUCAGAUCACUUCCAUCGAUCCACUUCCAUCUCCCUCCUUCAGCUCUCAGACCAAU